CUGCUGCCUUCCGUAGGAGUCUGGUCCGUGUCUCAGUACCAGUGUGGGGGACCUUCCUCUCAGAACCCCUAGACAUCGUCGCCUUGGUGGGCCGUUACCCCCGCCAACUAGCUAAUGUCACGCAUGCCCAUCCGUCUCCGGAGUCGCCUCCUUUGGCCGAAAGAAGAUGCCUCCCCUCGGCCACAUGCGGUAUUAGGCCGGAUUUCUCCGGGUUAUCCCGCUGAAACGGGCAGGUUGCAUACGCGUUACUCACCCGUGCGCCGGUCGCCGG
rnacentral:rRNA from 1 species